rnacentral:rRNA from 1 species
GACGAACGCUGGCGGCGUGCUUAACACAUGCAAGUCGAACGGAAAGGCCCUGCUUUUGUGGGGUGCUCGUGUGGCGAACGGGUGAGUAACACGUGAGUAACCUGCCCUUGACUUUGGGAUAACUUCAGGAAACUGGGGCUAAUACCGGAUAGGAGCUCCUGCUGCAUGGUGGUGGUUGGAAAGUUUCGGCGGUUGGGGAUGGACUCGCGGCUUAUCAGCUUGUUGGUGGGGUAGUGGCUUACCAAGGCUUUGACGGGUAGCCGGCAUGAGAGGGUGAACGGCCACAUUGGGACUGAGAGACGGCCCAGACUCCUACGGGAGGCAGCAGUGGGGAAUAUUACACAAUGGGCGGAAGCCUGAUGCAGCAACGCCGCGUGCGGGAUGACGGCCUUCGGGUUGUAAACCGCUUUCGCCUGUGACGAAGCGUGAGUGACGGUAAUGGGUAAAGAAGCACCGGCUAACUACGUG